rnacentral:rRNA from 1 species
GUAGACCCGUAUGAAAGGCACAAUGAGGGCUUAACUGUCUCUUUUAGUAAAUCAAUUAAACUGAUCUUCUAGUCAAAAAGCUAGAAUUAUAUCAUAAGACCAGAAGACCCUGUGAAGCUUUAACUAAACUGUUAAAUCACAUAACAACUACUUUCGGUUGGGGCGACCUUGGAAAAAAAAAGAACUUCCAAACUCAUAUUAUAUAAAAAUACUUACAGGCCAANAAGCCAUACAAAGACCCAGCUAAUGCUGACAACUGAACCAAGUUACUCCAGGGAUAACAGCGCUAUCUUCUUCAAGAGCCCAUAUCAAAAAGAAGGUUUACGACCUCGAUGUUGGAUCAGG